ACCCCCCUUCUUCCCCGGGGCCUUCCACCUCCGCGAGUUUUAUGACUUAAAAAACCCCACAGGCUGGUCUGAAGAGGAAGACAAACAUAAAGAUGAAGUGCUUAAUUCAAGGUCACACAAUGUCGGGGAUGGACCUCCAGAUUUCCUUACUGACCUGCAUUAUCUUGUGGAUACCUGAGUGAAUUCCACACCACCCAUUUUAUAGAUGAAACCACUGAGACAUGGAGCAACUGACUGAGUAGUCACUGCCCCACCCCUGCCUGGAGCCUCACACAUGACUCGUCUCCUCUCAGUGACCACAGGUUGGUUGAGGGGUUUAACAAGGCUAAGAAGGUGAGACGUGGUCUUGUAACACAGUGGUUAAGAAUGUGACUUUGGAGCCAGCCUGCUAGGGGCUGAAUUCUGACUCAGCCAUUUACUAACUGUGUGACCUUAGGUGGAGUCUCACUCUGUAGCCCAAGCUGGAGUGGUGUGAUCUCGACUCACUGCAACCUCCGCCUCCUGGGCUCAAGUGAUUCUCGUGCCUCAGCCUCCUGAGUAGCUGGGACUACAGGUCACAGAAUUUUCCACACUCCUUGACGGAGGUGCUUAACCCUUAUCCAUCAGCAUUCUCAGACAGCACCUCCGGUUAGGGACAGUAUCUGACCGUCCGACAUCCCUGCAGCCCCCAUGUGUCACACAGACUCAGCCUCAGGUAGAUGGUUUCCGUAGAUGGUGGCUUUCUUUGGACCCUUGACAUCAACCAGUUACUAUUUGCUCCUGCAACCACCGCUCUACUUUCUGUCUCUAUGAACUUGACUACUCUAGACACCUCAUGGGACCAGAUGUGCAGAGGUAAUGAAUACCAGGGAAUCAGGAAACCACUGGAUCAGUUCUUUGAGCCACAGAACAACACUCAUCCCAGCAGCUGGGAAGCUAUCUGCAAAAGUCCAUCUGCAGAAAGGGCUUCCUGGUCUUGCGUGUGGCUGGGCCAUUUCUCUGGAUGCAGGUUUUUCAUUAUACAGUCUUCUCAAAGAAACACCUGCUCUCAACACCUUCUCGGUGACUCCAUUUCCCCUCCUCU
rnacentral:antisense_RNA from 1 species